AUGGUUCGUAGAAGUUCGGGCCGUCGUUGUACUUGGAGGAAGAAAACACACAGUGACGAAGAGGGACACAUCCGAGGACUUCAGGGGUCACCGUUGAACUUGACGAAAUCCGUGGUGGCAGAGAGGUACUCGUCGGCGAUAGUCGUUCGGGCGGCGAGCGUCGUCGAACUUGACGGGCGUUAUGUAGUCAUACACUUCGGUGGUAGUCGUUCACGUUCGUAUGGGUACUUGGCGCCAUUGUGUCUCGAGUACUUGAUAUACACUUCGGUGGUAGUCAUUCACGUUCGUAUGGGUACUUGGCGCCAUUGUGUCUCGAGUACUUGA
rnacentral:rRNA from 1 species